rnacentral:rRNA from 1 species
UCUCAGUUCGGAUUGUAGUCUGCAACUCGACUACAUGAAGCUGGAAUCGCUAGUAAUCGCGGAUCAGAAUGCCGCGGUGAAUACGUUCCCGGGUCUUGUACACACCGCCCGUCACACCAUGGGAGUCGGAAAUGCCCGAAGCCAGUGACCCAACUGAAAGGAGGGAGCUGUCGAAGGCAGGUCUGAUAACUGGGGUGAAGUCGUAACAAGGUAGC